rnacentral:rRNA from 1 species
UGUAGGCGUAGCGAAAGCGAGUCUUAAUAGGGCGACUGAGUUCGAGGGAUGAGACCCGAAGCCGGGUGAUCUAGCCAUGUGCAGGUUGAAGGUGCGGUAACACGCACUGGAGGACCGAACCCACGUAUGUUGAAAAAUGCGGGGAUGACGUGUGGCUAGGGGUGAAAGGCCAAUCAAACCCGGAAAUAGCUGGUUCUCCGCGAAAUCUAUUUAGGUAGAGCGUCUCGUGAAUACCCAUGGGGGUAGAGCACUGGAUGGGCUAGGGGGUCCCAACGACUUACCAAACCUAACCAAACUCCGAAUACCAUGGAGUAAUGCGAGGCAGACACACUGCGGGUGCUAAGGUCCGUAGUGAAGAGGGAAACAGCCCUGACCGCCAGCUAAGGUCCCUAAGUUAUCACUAAGUGGGAAACGAUGUGGGAGUGCUUAGACAACCAGGAGGUUGGCUUAGAAGCAGCCAUCCUUUUA